rnacentral:rRNA from 1 species
GACGAACGCUGGCGGCGUGCUUAACGCAUGCAAGUCGAACGCUGAAGCUCAGCUUUUGUUGGGUGGAUGAGUGGCGAACGGGUGAGUAACACGUGAGUAACCUGCCCCCUUCUUUGGGAUAACGCCCGGAAACGGGUGCUAAUACUGGAUAUUCACUGGUCUUCGCAUGGGGGUUGGUGGAAAGGGUUUUUCUGGUGGGGGAUGGGCUCGCGGCCUAUCAGCUUGUUGGUGGGGUGAUGGCCUACCAAGGCUUUGACGGGUAGCCGGCCUGAGAGGGUGACCGGUCACAUUGGGACUGAGAUACGGCCCAGACUCCUACGGGAGGCAGCAGUGGGGAAUAAUGCACAAUGGGCGCAAGCCUGAUGCAGCGACGCCGCGUGAGGGAUGGAGGCCUUCGAGUUGUGAACCUCUUUCGCUCAUGGUCAAGCCGCAACAAUGGUUGUGGUGAGGGUAGUGGGUAAAGAAGCGCCGGCUAACUACGUG